AACUCUCAACAACGGAUAUCUAGGCUCUCGCAACGAUGAAGAACGCAGCGAAAUGCGAUACGUAGUGUGAAUUGCAGAAUUCCGUGAGUCAUCAAUCUUUGAACGCACAUUGCCGGUCGACUCUUCGGAGGAGACCACAUCUGCCUCAGCGUCG
rnacentral:rRNA from 1 species